ensembl:lincRNA
UCAGAGGAGUUGCCCCGAGUGAGGCCGUACUGCAAGAACGGCGGGGUGUGCCGAGGCUCCUCCAGGGGACUGCGCCGGCCGGGGCGGUCGCCCGAGGACCCCGAGUGUCGGCCCAGCACAAGGAGCUCCACAAAGAAAUCUGUAGCCGGUCCACUGUAAUUGAUGGCGCAGAACUGCAGAAAUGAGUGGGUGUUUGUUGACUAAGAAAAUAAAGGAACGUGGAAGAAAAGUUCUGUCACUUUCUGCAGUUCUGAUCUCUCCAGGCACCAUGAAAAGUCACUCUUGGCUGCAGAGAAGAGUUCCUGAUACAAGCAUUAGAGAGUGGUGAUUAAGAGUUUGCUCCACCUAAGCCCAGCCUCACUGAGGUGGCUGUAUGACCUUGGCCAAGGAACUUCACUUCUGUGUGUUUCCGUUCCCUCAUUGUUAAUUCGGGGCAACGGCUGUACCUGCUUCCCCAGAAGUUGAAUCAAUAGCUAUGCACUAUGAGAUGCCACGAAUAAAUAUUAUUAUCCCA